AUUGAACGCUGGCGGCAUGCCUUACACAUGCAAGUCGAACGGCAGCACGGGAGCAAUCCUGGUGGCGAGUGGCGAACGGGUGAGUAAAGUAUCGGAACGUGCCCAGUCGUGGGGGAUAACGUAGCGAAAGUUACGCUAAUACCGCAUACGAUCUAUGGAUGAAAGCGGGGGAUCGCAAGACCUCGCGCGAUUGGAGCGGCCGAUAUCAGAUUAGGUAGUUGGUGGGGUAAAGGCUCACCAAGCCGACGAUCUGUAGCUGGUCUGAGAGGACGACCAGCCAAACUGGGAAUGAGACACGGCCCAGACUCCUACGGGAGGCAGCAGUGGGGAAUUUUCCACAAUGGGGGCAACCCUGAUGGAGCAAUGCGGCGUGAGAGAAGAAGGCCUUCGGGUUGUAAAUCUCUGUAGUAAGGGAGGAACAGUAUAAGUAGGAAAUGGCUUAUACCUGACAAUACCUUACGAGAAAGCCACGGCUAACUACGUGCCAGCAGCCGCCGUAA
rnacentral:rRNA from 1 species